rnacentral:rRNA from 1 species
GAUCAUGGCUCAGAACGAACGCUGGCGGCAGGCUUAACACAUGCAAGUUGAACGGGAUUUGUGUGGUGCUUGCACCAUAUAAUGAGAGUAGCGCACUGGUGAGUAACACGUGGGAACGUGCCUUUUAGUGGGGGGAUAACAUCUGGAAACGGAUGCUAAUACCGCAUACGCCCUGAGGGGGAAAGAUUUAUUGCUAAGAGGUCGGCCCGCGGUAGAUUAGGCAGUUGGUGGGGUAAAGGCCUACCAAACCUACGAUCUAUAGCUGGUCUGAGAGGACGAUCAGCCACAUUGGAACUGAGACACGGUCCAGACUCCUACGGGAGGCAGCAGUGAGGAAUAUUGGGCAAUGGAGGCAACUCUGACCCAGCCAUGCCGCGUGAGUGAGAAGGUUUUCGAAUUGUAAAGCUCUUUCGGGUGUGAAGAUGAUGACGGUAACACCAGAAGAAGCCCCGGCAAACUUCGUG